rnacentral:tRNA from 1 species
GGGGCUGUAGUAUAAUCUGGCAGAAUGGCUGGCUCCAGACCAGCAGAUCAGGGUUCAAAUCCUUGCGGCCUCA